rnacentral:rRNA from 1 species
AUUGAACGCUGGCGGCGGGCCUAACACAUGCAAGUCGAGCGGAUGAAGGGAGCUUGCUCCUGGAUUCAGCGGCGGACGGGUGAGUAAUGCCUAGGAAUCUGCCUGAUAGUGGGGGAUAACGUCCGGAAACGGGCGCUAAUACCGCAUACGUCCUGAGGGAGAAAGUGGGGGAUCUUCGGACCUCACGCUAUCAGAUGAGCCUAGGUCGGAUUAGCUAGUUGGUGGGGUAAAGGCCUACCAAGGCGACGAUCCGUAACUGGUCUGAGAGGAUGAUCAGUCACACUGGAACUGAGACACGGUCCAGACUCCUACGGGAGGCAGCAGUGGGGAAUAUUGGACAAUGGGCGAAAGCCUGAUCCAGCCAUGCCGCGUGUGUGAAGAAGGUCUUCGGAUUGUAAAGCACUUUAAGUUGGGAGGAAGGGCAGUAAGUUAAUACCUUGCUGUUUUGACGUUACCAACAGAAUAAGCACCGGCUAACUUCGUG